GGUCCGGACUCCGGGGCGGGCACCUGCGCUGCCUCUCGCCGGUCGCGGCCCGCGGGGUGACCCGGCGGCCGGCCUAGCCGCAGCUGCCCCUCCGCCCCGCCCGCCAUGAGGAGCGCGCAACCCCUGGUCCUUCUGUCCCUGGUGGCUUUUUGCCGGCGCGGGGACUGCCGCGUGGCCAACGCAGAGGAGAAGCUGGUCGACGACCUUCUAAACAGAACCCGCUACAACAACCUGAUCCGGCCGGCCACCAGCUCGGCCCAGCUCAUCUCCAUCCAGCUGCAGCUCUCGCUGGCGCAGCUCAUCAGCGUGAAUGAGCGCGAACAGAUCAUGACCACCAACGUCUGGCUGAAACAGGAGUGGACCGACUACCGCCUGGCCUGGAACAGCUCCCGCUACGAGGGCGUCAACAUCCUGAGGAUCCCCGCCAAGCGCAUCUGGCUGCCUGACAUCGUGCUUUACAACAACGCUGACGGGACCUACGAGGUGUCUCUCUACACCAACGUGGUGGUGCGCUCCAACGGCAGCAUCCUGUGGCUGCCGCCCGCCAUCUACAAGAGCGCCUGCAAGAUCGAGGUCAAGCACUUCCCCUUCGACCAGCAGAACUGCACCCUCAAGUUCCGUUCCUGGACCUACGACCACACGGAGAUCGACAUGGUGCUCAAGUCACCCACGGCCAGCAUGGACGACUUCACCCCCAGCGGCGAGUGGGACAUUGUGGCGCUGCCUGGGCGCAGGACGGUGAACCCGCAGGACCCCAGCUACGUGGACGUGACGUACGACUUCAUCCUGCGGCGCAAGCCGCUCUUCUACACCAUCAACCUCAUCAUCCCCUGCCUGCUCAUCACCUCGCUGGCCAUCCUGGUCUUCUACCUGCCGUCUGACUGCGGUGAGAAGAUGACGCUGUGCAUCUCCGUGCUGCUGGCGCUCACCGUCUUCCUGCUGCUCAUCUCCAAGAUCGUGCCGCCCACGUCCCUGGACGUGCCGCUCAUCGGCAAGUACCUCAUGUUCACCAUGGUGCUGGUCACCUUCUCCAUCGUCACGAGCGUCUGUGUGCUCAACGUGCACCACCGCUCGCCCAGCACCCACACCAUGGCGCCCUGGGUCCGGCGCUGCUUCCUGCAUAAGCUGCCCACCUUCCUCUUCAUGAAGCGCCCAGACAGCAGCCCCUCGAGGGCCCCCCCGCCUGGCCAGCCGCAGCCCAGCAGGACCGAGGCCGCCGCCCCCCAGCCCUAUGGGAGCCCCGUGUACCCUGUGAACCCCACGCCUGUGGCCCCCAAGUCCCCAGCGGGCUCGGGCUCUGGCGUGGGGUCCACGGCCUGUGACCUCCGGCUGAGGGCUUCCGGGAGGUUCCGGUGGGACGUGCAGGAGGCCUUAGAGGGCGUCAGCUUCAUCGCCCGGCACAUGCAGAGUGACGACCGAGACCAGAGCGUCGUGGAGGACUGGAAGUACGUGGCCAUGGUGGUGGACCGCCUGUUCCUCUGGGUGUUUGUGGUCCUCAAAGCCUGUGCAUUUGCUGUACCUGCUGCCCCGACCGUCUGCCCGGGAGCUGCGCCCUGGCUGUGGUCCAUUGUCUGCUCCCACGUCCCCUCCCCAAGAGGCCUUCCUCGGCCCUCCUGGGCACCUCAAGUUCUCAGUGCUGCUGUGUCGUUCCACGUUGCACCCACUAGAGUGUGAGCUCUGAGACAGCAGGAACUGUCCUUCGUGCUGGCGGCACCCCAGGGCAUAGGCCCGAGCUCAGCACCCAGCAGGUGUUUAAUAAAGAUGAACACCCAGGAGUGUGAUCGCUGGGUUCUGUGGGGAAUGUGCUUUAACUUCUGAGCCACCGUGGCACCGGGCCCCUGGAGGCCACAGCAUCCUGCAUCCCCACCCGCACAGCGUGAGAGGCAGCGGCCCUCGGCAUCUGUCUGCAGUUGGUGUCGACUGAUUCGAGCUGUCGCAGUGGAUGUGAAGUGGAGUAUCAGCCAGCUUUUAACAGGCGUUUCCCUGGUGGCUAAUGCUACUGAACAUCUUUUCACGUGACUUUUUUUUCCUACUUUUUUUUUUUUUUUUUUUUUUUUUACUUUUUUUGCCUGUGCAUACAUGCCCUCUUUCGUAAACUGUGUGUUUAACUCUUUUGCUCAUUUUUAAAAUUGGGUUUAGUUUUCUUACUGUUGAGAUUUUAAAAACGACUUUAUUAAGGUGUGACAUAUAUAGUAUAAAAUCUGCCCUUUUAAAAUAUA